UACGGAGGGAGCUAGCGUUGUUCGGAAUUACUGGGCGUAAAGCGCACGUAGGCGGCUAUUCAAGUCAGGGGUGAAAGCCCGGGGCUCAACCCCGGAACUGCCCUUGAAACUAGAUAGCUAGAAUCUUGGAGAGGUCAGUGGAAUUCCGAGUGUAGAGGUGAAAAUUCGUAGAUAUUCGGAAGAAACACCAGUGGCGAAGGCGACUGACUGGACAAGUAUUGACGCUGAGGUGCGAAAGCGUGGGGAGCAAACAGG
rnacentral:rRNA from 1 species